CGAGGAUUAUAAGAUAUGUGAAAGUAUAAUUUAAAAUUUUAGGUAUUGAAACUAAUCUAGAUUCUUUUACCUUUGUUAUUGAGGUCCUUGAUAAAAUCCAGUAUUGCUUGGAGAUUUAAUUUUGAGAGGCUUGCAUGAUUGUUAUGGAAGAAUUUUGAUAGAUAUCAAAGAUCUCGAAGGAAAGAGACUUUAGAAGAGAUGAUUGAGUUGG
rnacentral:lncRNA from 1 species